rnacentral:tRNA from 1 species
GCCUGGGUGGCUCAGUCAGUUAAGCGUCUGACUUUGGCUCAGGAUACAAUCUCAGGGUUCGUGGGUACAAGCCCCGCAUCGGGCU